AGCAGCCGCGGUAAUUCCAGCUCCAAUAGCGUAUAUUAAAGUUGUUGCAGUUAAAAAGCUCGUAGUUGAGUUUCGGGGUCAGUAGGUCGGUCGUGCCACAGGUAUGCACUGGUCUCACUGAUUCCUCCUUCCUGAUGAACCGUAAUGCCAUUAAUUUGGUGUUGCGGGGAGACUGGACUGUUACUUUGAAAAAAUUAGAGUGUUUAAAGCAGGCUAACGCUUGAAUACAUUAGCAUGGAAUAAUGAAAUAGGACGUUCGAUCCUAUUUUGUUGGUUUCUAGGAUUGACGUAAUGAUUAAUAGGGAUAGUUGGGGGCAUUAGUAUUCAAUUGUCAGAGGUGAAAUUCUUGGAUUUAUUGAAGACUAACUACUGCGAAAGCAUUUACCAAGGAUGUUUUCAUUAAUCAAGAACGAAAGUUAGGGGGUCGAAGACGAUCAGAUACCGUCGUAGUCUUAACCAUAAACUAUGCCGACUAGGGAUCGGAUGAUGUUAAUUUUUAAUGACUCAUUCGGCGCCUUAC
rnacentral:rRNA from 1 species